AUUGAACGCUGGCGGCAGGCCUAACACAUGCAAGUCGAACGAGGGGCGGACGGGUGAGUAGUUUCUUGGAAACUGCCUGAUGGAGGGGGAUAACUCCUGGAAAAGGUAGCUAAUACCGCAUACUCGCCGAUGUGCCCAGAUGGGGUGAGCUUGUUGGUGGGGUAACGGCUCACCAGGGCGACGAUCCCUAGCUGGUCUGAGAGGAUGACCAGCCACACGGGUACAGAGACACGGUCCAGACUCCUACGUGAGGCAGCAGUGGGGAAUAUUGCACAAUGGGCGCAAGCCUGAUGCAGCCAUGCCGCGUGUAUGAAGAAGGCCUUCGGUUUGUAAAGUACUUUCGUCGGGGAGGCGUUACCCGCAGAAGAAGCACCGGCUAACUCCGUGCCAGCAGCCGCGGUAAUAC
rnacentral:rRNA from 1 species